GGGCGGUUAGCUCAGCUGGUAGAGCGCCUGCUUUACACGCAGGAGGUCAGUGGUUCGAGCCCUCUACCGCCCA
rnacentral:tRNA from 1 species